rnacentral:rRNA from 1 species
UUCUAACGUGGGCCCCUAAUCGGGGUUGCGGACAGUGUCUGGUGGGUAGUUUGACUGGGGCGGUCUCCUCCUAAAGAGUAACGGAGGAGCACGAAGGUCAGCUAAUCCUGGUCGGACAUCAGGAGGUUAGUGCAAUGGCAUAAGCUGGCUUGACUGCGAGCGUGACGGCGCGAGCAGGUGCGAAAGCAGGUCAUAGUGAUCCGGUGGUUCUGAAUGGAAGGGCCAUCGCUCAACGGAUAAAAGGUACUCCGGGGAUAACAGGCUGAUACCGCCCAAGAGUUCAUAUCGACGGCGGUGUUUGGCACCUCGAUGUCGGCUCAUCACAUCCUGGGGCUGAAGUAGGUCCCAAGGGUAUGGCUGUUCGCCAUUUAAAGUGGUACGCGAGCUGGGUUUAGAACGUCGUGAGACAGUUCGGUCCCUAUCUGCCGUGGGCGCUGGAGAAUUGAGGGGGGCUGCUCCUAGUACGAGAGGACCGGAGUGGACGCAUCACUGGUGUUCGGGUUGUCAUGCCAAUGGCAUUGCCCGGUAGCUAAAUGCGGAAGAGAUAAGUGCUGAAAGCAUCUAAGCACGAAACUUGCCCCGAGAUGAGUUCUCCCUGACCCUUUAAGGGUCCUGAAGGAACGUUGAAGACGACGACGUUGAUAGGCCGGGUGUGUAAGCGCAGCGAUGCGUUGAGCUAACCGGUACUAAUGAACCGUGAGGCUUAACCUUACAACGCCGAAG